rnacentral:rRNA from 1 species
CCUACGGGAGGCAGCAGUGAGGAAUCUUGGUCAAUGGCCGGGAGGCUGAACCAGCCAAGUCGCGUGAGGGAAGACGGCCCUACAGGUUGUAAACCUCUUUUGUCAGGGAGCAAGGUGCAGGUCGGGACCUGCUGUGAGAGUACCUGAAGAAAAAGCAUCGGCUAACUCCGUGCCAGCAGCCGCGGUAAUACGGAGGAUGCGAGCGUUAUCCGGAUUUAUUGGGUUAAAAGGGGGCGCAGGCGGAGGCACAAGUCAGCGGUAAAAGCGCGGGGCUCAACCCCGCCCCGCCGUUGAAACUGUGUGCCUAGAGUGCGCGAAGGGUAGGCGGAAUGCGUGGUGUAGCGGUGAAAUGCAUAGAUAUCACGCAGAACUCCGAUCGCGAAGGCGGGCUACCGGCGCGCAACUGACGCUCAUGCACGAAGGCGUGGGUAUCGAACAGGAUUAGAUACCCGGGUAGUC